UCUACGGGUGGCAGCAGUGGGGAAUAUUGCACAAUGGAGGGAACUCUGAUGCAGCGACGCCGCGUGAGUGAAGAAGUAAUUCGUUAUGUAAAGCUCUAUCAGCAGGGAAGCAAGUGACGGUACCUGAAAAAGAAGCUCCGGCUAAAUACGUGCCAGCAGCCGCGGUAAUACGUAUGGAGCAAGCGUUAUCCGGAUUUACUGGGUGUAAAGGGGGAGUAGGUGGCAGAGCAAGUCCGAAGUGCAAACCCAAAGCUCAACUACGGGAAUGCUUUAGAAACUGCUCAGCUAGAGUGGAGGAGAGGCAAGUGGAAUGCGUGGUGUAGCGGUGAAAUGCGUAGAUAUUAGGAGGAACACCAGUGGCGAAGGCGGCAUGCCGGACUGUAACUGACGCUGAGGCUCGAAAGCGUGGGGAGCAAACAGGAUUAGAUACCCGAGUAGUC
rnacentral:rRNA from 1 species